UUAGGGUUUAUAUCGCGCAUAGUGUGGUAGCAGCAGCUGAGUUUGUUUCCGUUGCUGCUUCACCCACCUCGCUUUGACGGACAAAGGAGAUUUGGUGGUGACUAUGAUGGAUACCGUGGAGGUCCACGCGGACCUAGUGGUGAUUUCGGUGACAAGGGUGGAGCUCCUGGUGACUACAGGCCUUCUUUUGGAGGAAGAGGCUAAAGACUUAGAAUCACGACAUCAAAAAAGUGAAAUUCCACUUACUUCUGGUGAUAUUCCUGUUGGCAUUAAGAGAAAAAUAGAUCGGUCUUACCAAGAGUUGGAAGCAAGGAGGGGUAGACUUAGCCAACUAGAGAAAAUCUACAUGGAUAUGACAAUGCAGAAGGAUAACUGAUGGAGGUCGUACCCGAAUCAAAUCAUCUAUCAUUAUACAAACAAGGCCCUGAAUGGCCUACGUGUCGCGCUGUGGUUAAUCUACUUUCCCGCCCAAAAAUGUCAUAUCCUGCUACAGUGCAUGGCCUACAAAAUGAUGCGUUCCCAAUUCCAAGUGUUUCCAAUAGUUUCCAAUAAACCAUUUGUAUACCGAUGCAUUUCCAUUACCCAUGCUUUUCGAAUACCAAUGCUUCUUGAAUACCGACAAUAAUUAUGACCACUUGACAAGACGUUUACUUUUGCAGAUUGCAGAUGAAUGAAGGGUUUUGGUUAUACGCUUUGUUUCUUUUGUUUUAUUUUCAUCCUCUGUUUUUGGUUAUACGUUUGGUUUCCUUGCAUUUGGCUCCUACUUUACACAGGUGCAUUUGAAGAAGAAAGGUUCAUUUGAACAAAAACAAAGGUGCAUUUGAAGAAGAAAGGUUCAUUUGAACAAAAAAGCGAUGUCUCGAAAAGAAAAUCUUAUAUCUGAAUUGCAUCCAAGGAAAGGGACAUGGAAGAUAGCAGUGCGUAUAACCGAUAUGUGGGAUGUUAAGAAGCACAAUGGGAGACAAGCGAUUGACAUGGUCUUCAUAGACCAAACGAUAAUUGUUAUGUUAUUUGCUUUCAUUCUACUAUGUAGUUAGUGAAGAGGGUAUUUGUAGUUAUGGAUUGUUUAUAACUUUCAGGGUGUAAAGAUUGAGGCAACGCUAUGGCAAGAGUUGUUCCCUGAAUUUCAACCGAAGUUAGCUUUAGGUUGUUCCUAUUUGAUCCAAAACAUCAAAGUUGUGGACAAUCAAUCUGAAUAUAAAGUAAGUCCAAUUUCAUAUUUGCUUUACUUUGUGAAAACAACAUCUGUGAAGGAGGUUGAAAGACCUGAAAUUCUUGCUAAUGUACACGUGAUAACUGAAAUUGCUGAUAUUAUUUCUGGCAUUGCACCAUGACAUACUUUAGUUGGUAAGUAUAUUAUAAUGUUUUCCAUUACAUAUUAGUUUAUAUAUUCAACCUAUGUUCAACACAACUUAAUUCUAUUCAUUUAUGUUGGUUUGAAAAUAGAUGUCGUGGGUGUUGUCGCUAAAGUUAUUGAACAAAAAAUAGUGAAUCCUGCAUACAAGGUUACGGUGAAGUUGAGAGAUAAUAGUGAUGCUGAGAUCCUCAUGACACUGUGGGAGGAUUAUGCUCUUCAGCUAGAUGAUGCUAUUGAAAAAAACCAUUUUGUUAGGGAGCCGUUGGUGCUUAUGUUAACAUUGACUAAGAUCAAAGAUGCCAAAGACAAGUAUCCCCUCAGUGUCCAAAAUAUAAAAAAUGGUUCCAAGUUGUAUGUAAACUCCGAUGAUAUUGCUGAGAUAAGGAUGAUAUUGCUGAGAUAAGGAAAUUCCUUGAUAGUUUUUGUGUUCCAUUUUAUGUUGGUGGAUUAACAGAAGAAGGGAGUGGUUUGCAAUCCCAGUAUACCAGUAAUUCACAAAGAGGUGAUCGUGAUAAGUUCUUGCAUAAUGCUCAGAUGGUCAACUUAGGUGACAUAAGCAGACUGAGAGACGUAACAACAAAAAAUUUUAAAUGAAACACCAUUUGUAUUGGAUAUGGUGUGGUUCCCGAAUUGGAUUUGGUGUGGUUGCCGGCUGUUUAUGGUGAAAGUAUUGUUGUUGUUGUUGUGUGUAUGAUUUUUUUUCAUACCUUUUAAAUGUCGUUUUACAAUUUUUGCCCGUUUAAUUUUUUUUUUGUUUGAUCUGUCCACUUUCAUUUGUUAUAUAUUUUAAUUCAAUUAGGACUGUUUCUGUUUGACCGUUGCUACGGUGGAUGAUGUCCUGAUUGAUACACCAUGGAGUUAUGAUAGCUUUCCAAAUUGCACUACAACGUUUGAUCCAUUAUAAAUAGUGGGUGCCUGCCGUUCGUGCCAGAACCAAGUUAGUCAUAUGGUUCCCAAGUAAAAUGUAUAAAUUAGUUGUGAAAAUGGAACACAAUGGAGAGAAAGCUAACUUUCAUUUUUGGGAUGCAACGUGUAUCAAAAUGUUCGGUAAGACAGCCGAGGAAUGUUGACAUGAAUUGAUUGCGGGUGGUGACAAGAUCAAAGUGUCCCCUGAGUGUGUGGAUGAUUUGGUUGGUAAGACAUUGGCGCUCAGGUUCAAGUACCGUGUAAACAUGCGCCAGUCAUCUGUGAUGGAUGUUAGCCAAGAAGAACAUCAUAUCCAGACAUUGACUUUCAAAAUUGGUCUACAGGAUGAACAAACUAUAGGGAAGUCACCCGCAUCGUGUGCUGAGACUUCAUCAAGGGAUUACCAUCCGACGCCUUCAUUGUCCCAGUCAACUGACUAUGACCCUGGGAACACUGCCUUCAUCACCCCUGCCAAAAGAUUGAGCGGUCAACAAGCCACAAAUGAAUUUGAUUCUAAGGAUACUACUGCGUAUGAGCUAUCCACAAACAAACAUAUUAAAACUGAGUAAUCAGUUGACAAUUUAAUUAUAUAUUGUAUGCUUAAAUUUUAUAUACGUUUGUUGGGUUAUUUUGGUUUACGUUUGUUGGGCUAUUUUUUGGUGAUGUUGUACCCACUCAAUUAGUCAUGUAUGGACAAUGAAUUCUAUCGACAUUAUUUCGUAUGGUUAAAUUUGAUAUCA